rnacentral:rRNA from 1 species
AGUAACGGCGAGUGAACAAGCAAAAGCUCAGUUUUGAAAGCCUCUUCGGAGGCAUUGUAUUCUGAAGCCUAGAUUCUGGGAACCGGUACUUAAGUCUUCUGGAAAGGAGCGCCACGGAGGGUGAUAGCCCCGUACGGUACUGACCCCAUUGUAGUUUCUAGGCGUGGAGUCGAGUUGUUUGGGAAUGCAGCUCAAAUGGGAGGUAUGCUCCUUCUAAAGCUAAAUAUUUGCGAGAGACCGAUAGCGAACAAGUACUGUGAAGGAAAGAUGAAAAGAACUUUGAAAAGAGAGUGAAAUAGGACGUGAAAUUGUUGAAAUGGAAGGGUAGGCCGCUAACCAUGUAGGACCGUGUUUGAGGGGAAGAUAAAAGCUUCGGAACGUAGCUCCUCGGAGUGUUAUAGCCGAAGUCAAUUUCCCACUCGAGCGCGAG